rnacentral:tRNA from 1 species
GCCUGGGUGGCUCAGAUGGUUAAGCGCCUGACCUUGAUUUUGGCUCAGGUCAUGAUCUCGGAAUCGUGGGUUAGAGUCCCGCAUCAGGCU